rnacentral:rRNA from 1 species
UGCCGUUAAACACCCCACUUCUGAAAGUUGACCUCGGAUCAGGUAGGAAUACCCGCUGAACUUAAGCAUA